UUGGAGGGCAAGUCUGGUGCCAGCAGCCGCGGUAAUUCCAGCUCCAAUAGCGUAUAUUAAAGUUGUUGCAGUUAAAAAGCUCGUAGUUGAAUUUCGGGAUCAAAUUGUCGGUCGUGCCUCGGUACGCACUGGUAUUAUUGGUUCCUACCUUCUGAAGAACCGCGAUGUCAUUAAUUUGGUGUCGUGGGGAAUCAGGACUGUUACUUUGAAAAAAUUAGAGUGUUUAAAGCAGGCUUACGCUUGAAUACAUUAGCAUGGAAUAAUGAAAUAGGACGUUUGAUUCUAUUUUGUUGGUUUCUAGGAUUGACGUAAUGAUUAAUAGGGAUAGUUGGGGGCAUUAGUAUUCAAUCGUCAGAGGUGAAAUUCUUGGAUUUAUUGAAGACUAACUACUGCGAAAGCAUUUGCCAAGGAUGUUUUCAUUAAUCAAGAACGAAAGUUAGGGGAUCGAAGACGAUCAGAUACCGUCGUAGUCUUAACCAUAAACUAUGCCGACUAGGGAUCGGAUGAUGUUAAUUUUUUAAUGACUCAUUCGGCGCCUUACGGGAAACCAAAGUGUUUGGGUUC
rnacentral:rRNA from 1 species